ensembl:lncRNA
UAUCAGUAACCGUUUUAUCAAGACCAGGAUUGUGGUGGAUUCCAGUAUCCUGGGAAUGCUGGACCCAAGGUGGGAAUACACUCUGGAUGGGGCACCAGUCCACUGCAGCUAGUGAAAGUUGUACAACUUAUCUUUGCACAAAAGCAGCAUUAUUAGCUAUUAUUCUUUUAAACUAUUAUUCACCUUUUAAAAUAAUCAUGAAAAUCUGAGGAUUAUGUUUAAUUUUCUUCAAGGACUAAAAUAGUCUUGCUCAAAUGGUGGACACGGCUGGUCCCUAUGGGCGCCAUUCAUCCUGUCACUGACAACGUUAACUUUUUUUUUUUUAAACAAACCUCAGGGUUAAAGUCAGCCAUUUUUCUCUGAGCUUUACUGUAGAGAAUAAACAGCCAGACUUUUCCAUUAGGAGCAGACUUCUCCCUCCAAGUGUCCUGUACACCACAAGAGACAGACUCUAAAUGACAUUUUAAUCUGAGGUGUGAAGGUAGACUCAUUUAGGACUAGCGAUGGAAAACACACAUAAUAAUUGCCUUGUGAUUUAAAAUGACUUCAGCAUUUUAAAAAGGUUUGUGGGAAACCUGGAUAAGGGAGUUUGCUAUAGUCUGCACCUGAGCAAACUCAAAUGUACUGGAAGAUUCGUCUUCGCUUUAGCCAGCUAUGUAGCGCAGAUGUGUAGCUGGCAGCAGUGAUGCAUUCCCCGUUACCUCCUGUUUAAGAUCAGCCUAUAAUGCAAGUCCUUAAAUUCACACCUCUAUUUUACUUUUACUUUAAUUGAAUAGACAAAUUGAUCAAGAUCUCCAAAGUUAGUCUUGUCUCUUUAAGGUCUGGUUAGUUUAGCAUCCGUGUGCUCUCUGUGGGAACUGCUAAUUAGCUGAUAAGCAAACAAGCUAGUGACUAGCCACUCAAUAUUACUAGCUACUCAAAGGUAUGUUCUCUUUUCUUGCACUUUUUUUCACUUUUUAUCUCAGCAUUAUCUGAAAAACAUUCUUGGAUGAUCAUUAAAUGUUAUAAUGAAUAUAUUGUAUACCUUCUACCCGUCGACCCCUUUAUCCUCUCUGUCUGGCUCCUGCUUUUCUCUGAACUGAAAGAGGCCCAUGUGGUGGGUUUUGAGGAAGAAGUAUGGUAAAUGUUUUCCCUGCUUUUUUUUUUUUUUGUGUGUGUGUGUGUGUGUGUUUUUUUUGGAAGAGGCCUCUUCAUAAAAUCGUGCAGCAUAUGUACAUGAACACUUUCAUCAGUGCUGCAGGUUCAGUUCUUGGGGCUGCAGGUUCAGGAGACAGAAAUAUAAAAUGGUCUUAGUGCUCUGUGCUCACAGAGGAAUCGUCUGAUGUCGGAGGAAGAUUGAUGGUGUGUAGGAGUGGUCCACUGCAGAGAGCUUCUGGCCAUAGCUCCUGAAGUCAUAAACUCUACUCUGAAUGCAAGCAAACAACAAGUGAGGACCAGAGAUUCCCUUCUUACUUCAUACUGAAAACACUAAUGUGACGUUUUGUAUAACUUGGAAAUAACUUUUAACUUUGACUCACCUCUCUUGAACACAAAUGUGCAUUUUGAAAAGUCUGUCCUUACAAUACUGUUAUUCUGUGUUUGCAGUGUUGGGUAGUAACGGAGUAAGUUUAAUCUGUUUACGGAAAACCAGGGGGUGUAAUUUGAUUAUGUCAUUCCUUUUAAUGGAUUACUUGAUUACAUUUUUGAGCUCUAUGAAUCACAGUCUAAAAGUUGACAGAUUUUGCACAUAAACCGAUGUCCGAAUUAACGCCAGCUCCAUGUGUGUAACACAGGGCUCACAGAGGCUGGAUAAGGAUCCAUUAGUGGUUAUCCAUAAGAGGUUAUUUAUUAACAAAAUUACAAUUCAAAAGAACAGUCCAAGUUGUUAUCAACGUUCACUUUGAAAGCAGGCAAUUCCAAAAUAAUAUCAAUAUUGUGCUCAAGAGCAAGGCGGGGUCAACAAUACCUAAAACCUAAAAAAAAAAAAAAAAGAAUUAAAAACCAAAGGGCAGUGAAAGGACAGGGUCAGGAUAAAGCAGGUGAAGAUCAUACGCAAAAUUGCUUUCCAACAAGCGCGGCUCAGAGCUUACUCACUUGCAAGCAAACGAUAAGACUUCACACUAAGUGUUUUAUGUCGGUUUAGCAGGAAAUUAGCUUUAUGUGUAGAUAACUGUAAUGUGAUCUACAUAAAAACACACAGUUCCCUGACAUUUACAUACAGUAUCUCCUCAUGUACAUUCUUCAUUAUAUACUGUAUACCUGAAUUUCUCGCUUUGUGAGUUUUGAUUCCAAAUUUGUGGUCUUUAGUGGAUCCAGUCAUCUUAGAUAAAUGUUCAUUGGGGAUGCGAUGGACCUGUUAGUCAAACAACCAAUAGAAACUUUCAACUGCUAAGUAAAAGGUAUGUAAGAUAUAUGUAUUUAUGUGUAACAUAAAUAAAAUGUCUAUGUUGGGCUCACAGUGGCUUGGUGGUGAGCACGUUCACCUCACACCUCCAGGGUCGGGGGUUCGAUUCCCACUGUGGCCCUGUGUGUGUGGAGUUUGCAUGUUCUCCCCGUGCUGCGGGGGUUUCCUCCGGGUACUCCGGUUGCCUUCCCCAGUCCAAAGACAUGCAUGGUAGGCUGAUUGGCAUGUCCAAAGGGUCCGUAGUGUAUGAAUGGGUGUGUGAAUGCGUAUGUGAUUGUGCCCUGCAAUGGAUUGGCACCCUGUCCAGGGUGUACCCCGCCUUGUGCCAAGUGCUCUCUGGGAUAGGCUCCAGGUUCCCCGUGACCCUGAAGGAAGGAUAAGUGGUGUAGAAGAUGGAUGGAUGGAAAAUGUCUAUAUUUAUGUUGACUGUGUAUGGCAACUGGGAUCAUAUGCAGUAUGUACUGUAUAAAGUUUGUAUAAUUUUUGAACAUAUUUCAUAAUGGGAAUUGGCAGAAUGGUUUUCAAGAUACAAACAAAUAAAUAAGUGUGUGUGAAUGUGUAUGCCUGGUACCCUAUGAUUGACUGGUGUCUCUUCUGGCGUGAAUUCUCCAGCCUCGUGGCCAGCGUUCCUGGGAUACAUUCUGGAUCCACCGUGAACCUAAUCAAGAUAAAGUGGUUACUGAAGAUGAAUGAAUAAAUAAAUAAAUAAUAAUAAUAAUAAUAAAAAAACCCUGAACAAAUGAAUGAAUUAUGGUUUGUUCAAACAAACAAAAAUAAAUUAAUAAAUUGGUGGAAUUGGUGGAACAGUUCCAUUACAUCUCCUAUUAACAUUUAUAAUUUAAAACAAAUAAAAUGUCUAUGUUUAUGCAUUACAUUUGAUCUUUUAACUUUGUAGCAAAUUUAUUUGGAAUGUUUAGGGGUAUUAAUAGGUAACUAAGACAAACCAAUCUGUGCUCAAAGUGAACCUUUAUGUAUGAUCAUACUGUAUAUGGCAACUGGGAUCAUAGGCAGUAUGUUUAAUGUUUGUAUAAUUUUUGAACAUGAUCUGGAAUCAUUUUUCAGGUUGAAUUGGUGGAAUAAUAAUAAAUUGUACAAAUCUGGUGUAUAACAGACUCCUAGCUCCUGAAACAUCUGAAACAAUGCGUGGGUGCUGUCCAUCUUUGGCUGUUAAAAGAUAAAUGUGAGAACAGUGGAGUUUGUGUUCUCCCUCCUGUUUAUUUUGCCUCUCAAGCAGAUUUGUGGUGAGUGAGUUCAUAUCUGUGGUAAUGUAAUGGGAAUGAUCUUUGUGAGAAUGCAGCUUUCAGUAUUUCUGUUGUCUUAUCAGUGUAAAUGUGUCGACAGAAGUGAGCUAAAGAUUAGUUAUAUUUCACGUUUAUCACUCCUUCUCAAAUCUCUGAACAGUGUUUGUCCUUUAGCUCGUAAUAAAUAAAGAGGCAGAAUUAGAUCAGAUCCCAGAACAAGAUUGAACACUUUGAUAUGUGUGACUGGAAAAUCUUUAAAUGUAAUAUAUUUCUAUUAAAUAUAUUAAAUAUAAAAAUAUUGCCUUUUUAAAGAUGUUUUUGAUUAGUAACUAUAUUCCACUUUUGACCUUAUUCUUGAUUCAAUAGACUAACGUCUCUACAGCAUCUGCCACUUAAACAGAUAUUGGUGGGUUAUUGUUCUCUUCUUCUAUGACAUUCAUGAUCAAUAAUCAUGAUGCUUAAAGUGUAAGCGUUUCCAUUGAAGCAGAAUUUGAAUGCUUGGGGAUCAGUUUCCCAAAUGCAUUGUCAAGUUAAAACCAUCUUAACUGGUAGAGAGAGUUUUCAGUGUCAUAUUUACUGUACUAUUUAACCAGGAUCUUUGUGCUGCAAAACAUUUGAGAAAAUCCUGAAUAAUUUAUACACAUUUAUCCUUUUACAUUUCUAUUAGCAUACUUCUCAAAAUUUCAUAACCUAAAGCAAACCCAAACCUAAAACAUUUUCAUUCAUCUUUAUACAUUUCUAUUUAGUAAGUACUUUAUACUGGUGGAUCCAGAGCCAAUCCUGAGAACACUGGGUGCAUGGAGGGAAUAUACCAUGAGUAUUCCCAGGGAGAGAUGGGCAAGUCCAUUUCAGGACACCAUGCACACACACAUUCAUACACUCGCUCACACUUACGGGAAUUUAGAGUCACAAAUCCACCUACCAGCAUGUUUUAUGCAGACACACAGAAAUCACCCAAAAGUCCACAAAGUCAGUAACCUGAGCUCAGGAUCAAACCUUGGAUCCUGGAGAUGUGAGGCAUUAAUGCUACCUGUUAUAUCACUGUGCUGCCCUGCAGUUUUUGGAAUUUCCUAAAAAUAAAAAGGUCACAAUUUCACCAAAUGUUUUCAUAGCCCGCCACAUACAGAGCCAUGAGAAAAACGUAGCAGCUUUUGUGGUUUCAUUUAUACCCCAAAAGCUGUGAGGGGUUUGUGCAGCUUGUUGUACUGGCCACUUUUAAUAAACAGCAACAAUCCCAAACCAGCAAUAACAAAGCAAGGAAACUGUUGUCAUUUUAUUUACUGAUGUUUUAGUGCUUCGGCAAGUUCAUAGAAGCGUUACUGCAGUACAAACUGCUGACUCCAGAAGAACUGCAUAUGUGGAGUGGAUGGAGUUUUGCUGAAACUGCUUCCCCUACUUUGCGGCUUGCGUAUCAAUACUCUUUUCCAAAUCCAGACAUUUUUUUCUUUCCUCCAUGGAUGGCCGAGAUCCCAGGUCUAAAAAUGGUUUCUUAGGAAACCAAGUAAAACAUUGCGGCUGGGGAAUAAAUUGCUUUGAAUCUUGGACUGUGAGACAGACUGUGGUGGUGGGGGAAACACAGAGAUAUGUAGAUCCAUCUGUGGACAAAGGAGAGGCGAUGGGACAAGAAAUUGAGUUGCAAUAUUAGAAACUAUGAAGCUGUGGUUGUGGUGCUGAUUUAAUUUCUGAAAUUGUGGUACUGUGAACAGUUAUUUAUAAAAAUAUAACCACAGUUAUUUCCUCUGUCCUGAAUUGACCUAUGUACAUAAGCACAGCGCUACUUCAUUUACUAUUAACUUAUAUUGUAUGUUCUGUACUGGGAUCAGUAUUACAUGUGAGCAGUUACUAAACUUAUUCUACUUUCAUCACUGAAAGUAUUUGGUUUGUUUUUCAGCAGUCAGAAGCUUAUGUGUGUCAGGCAUUUCCAUCAUUGACAUUGCAACAGCUUUUUUGUGUAUUUCUUUUGGUCCUGGGAUUUAAACCUUUGCUCACUGCCACAGAACCUUAACCACUGAGUGCGUCCUGUGACUCAUGUAGGUCUUAAGCCUCAUGGUCACCAAUGACAUGAGGCCAGUUGGGUGUUUUUGGCAAUUCAGUUCAAUUCAAUUGUAUUUGUGUACUGAUUGAUUUUAACAAUAGACAUUGUCACAACGCAGCUUUACAGAAAUCUAGAUGUAGAUUUAGAUCCAUAAUGAGCAUCCCAGAGGGGAUAGUGGCAAGCAAAAACUCUUUCAGAUGAUAUGAGGAAGAAACCUUGCGAAGAAACAGACUCAAAAGGGAACAUGGAUGACUCUGGAUAGUGGGAUUGUAAAGCGUUACUCUUAUACAACUGUAUACUGUAAAGUCACUGUGAAAGUUUUGAAAUGAUGUUCAGUAUGAAUAUAUUGUGAAUAAGAGUUAUGAGAUGAGCACAGGACAGUUUUUAUGAUUACAGCAGCAGUUCUGAGAUUAUCCAUUGAAGCAAGAGUGGGUAUUGAAUGAUGUGGUAAACUGUUUUUGGGAAGAGACUUGCUGGGAAGUUUUGGUAAUGAGACCUAUUUAUCUAGAGCCAUCCUGCAGUCAUACGCCACCCUAAAGUCUGGUAAAUUAUAUUGGAUCAUUUCCAAUAUAACCUGCAGCUGCUAGGCAGAAUAUGAAAGCUGAGACUCAGGUUCAGGCAGGAAGUCUGAUGUCAUUGUGCUUGCAAGAAUCUCCUGUAAGUCAUGCACACCCCAAGGACUGAUGAAUGAGGAUAAUGUAGCUUAAUGCCACUUUAUUACUUUUCUUUUAACACUCUGCACGUCAUGUGAGGUUUCAGAAUGGAAAACCUGACCACAGACUGGCACUGGAACCACAUGAAAGGGCUGGGUUUCAUCACAAGUCUUUUUCACCAAGUAUACUUUUUGGAGAAAUAUGAUUAUACAACAAUUUGUAAUCAUAUUUAAACACCUGGCUGUUAAAAAAAAAGUGCAUUUUAGCCCAAAGGUGCAAUGAGGGUGAAUGAGUGUGAAAGGUCUGUGCAAUCAUAUUUCAUCAGCUUUGGACCACAUGCAGCUUCCCCAGCAUGCUCUGACAUUCAAGUUGACGUUAUCCGUCUUUUUCCUUCCAUGUGGUGGAAACCCAGGCCUUUUCCAUGCUCAGUUUUUGAUGGUUGCUCUGGAAAGUUGGCCGCGCUGGAGCUCUGGCCUGCUCGGACUUUUCCAUGCACUCAAGCUUCUCAGAACCUGGAAUGCCAGAGCGUCGGCCUGGAGCUUGUCUCCCAUUUAUUUUUAGAAUGACUGCAUUGUGUCAGGCCCAAGUGGCCACAACCUUGCAAUUCUGUCUGCAGUAUAUGUUCAAUAAACUGUGAAGGGGCCUGAAUAUGCGAUAAGUCUGUCCUAGCUGUGGUGCUGAUGUGCCUGGACAUUUGUUCUCAUUAUCCAUUGCCAAGUAUUUGUUUAUUAACAAAAGCUGUCUGAAUUUGGAGUUUACCUCUACUUCUGGGUUUUAUUGAGCAUCUCUGUUCAGAUGGAAGGAUGCCUAACAUAAAAUAGCACAGCAUCAAAGAUGCCAAACAUCUGUGCUGUGUUGGGGUAUUUGGGUGCCUGUCUGUUCAUCUGUCUUUACUUUGCAUUAAAUAUUGCUCUUAGUCACACAAAAUGUGAAGUAAUUGCACACUGCCACAUUCAUGCAUGAAUAGUAGAGAUUGAUAUUGUCCCACUUUUAGAUGCUAAAAUACACAUCUCAAUGCAUAGUGUAUGGUACAAAAGUAUACAGUUAAUAAGUAUGUAAUGAAUCCAAAUGUAAUCAAUACAUUUCAAUUCACUCCUGAUCAGAUACAAUUCAGUUCAUCACUGAUUCAUUUCGAUUCAUACCCAAUCCAAUAUGACUCUUCUGUUAAAUUUCAGUUUUCCACCAUGGGAAAGUCGUCAGAACAGAGGACUUUGUGUUUUCCAGUUUCUUGGUAAUGUGACAAUCUGCAUUUUUUGUAUUAACGUCAAUAGAAAACAACACAGAGGCUGGUGAGGGAAUAAUGGUUUAUAGCUGCUAUAUCAUAAGUGAUAACAGGAACCUACUGUUCUGUGGAUAGUUCACAAGUUUAAAUGUAGCUAUAAACUGAUUUAAAAAGUACAACAUAUUCUUUGUUCCCACAACCCUGUCUAUAGGCAACAAGAACACUGAAACAACUGAAAUAAAUUUGAGAUCUCUCUAUUGCUCUCUCUAUUGCACUCUCACACACACACAUGCUUGAACCAGGGAGUGUGCAUAGAUUUUUAACCAUGUUCCUUUUUGAGUUUGGAUCUUGGAUGUGGCCGUAUCGUAGACUGUUGGACUGCUUUUCCUGUUCGAAUCAGUUUGUCUUUACACCCCAAAUGAAUGGUCUGUGCAGCUUUGUAUAUCUUUCAUGUGCUCAGUAGGACUUGUUUUGAUCACCUGUCUUACAUUGCAACCAAUAAGACAAGAGAAGAACUAUAUUCAAAAUCAAGGCUUUGAAGAAUAGAAUGGCAUUUCUCGGAAGAACGAUUUUGCCAAGUUACCAUAUAAGAACAAACUUGCAAAGACAUGAAGUCAGAGAACACUCCUUUAUGAGUUUAAGACAAGCAGCAUACUUGGCUUUUUGGCUUAAGUGCUAGCAGCUUCCACUUUCACAAGGUAUGACACAAGUUGCUAAAUAUGCUUAGAUGUUCAAUUAGAGCCAAGAGCUGAUACUUUGUGUGAAAACUUUGUGUUUUCUAGCUUAUAUAAUUCUGAAAUUAAAUAUAUCUUUUGCUUUUGCAGUUCAACAAAUAAAGUUCUAGCAUUUAAAAAUGUAGUUAGCCCAAAAAGUGAAAAAUCGAGAGAAAUUUAAAGACUCUAUAAAUCCACUGAAAUAUGUAUGGUAAAACAGCAUUACUGUUAAAUUCUAAAGAAUUAGAAGUGUACAAUAAUAAAUUCUGAUUAUUACUUUGACUGUCUUAUCACCUGAGGUAAAAGUCACUCACAUCCUUGGUUUGUUAUCCGACUGUGUCCACC